rnacentral:rRNA from 1 species
ACUACUACCUAUCAGGAGGGGAUAACCGGCGAAAGUCGGACUAAUACCGCAUAAAGCAGGGAUCCCGCAUGGGAAUAUUUGCUAAAGAUUCAUCGCUGAUAGAUAGGCAUGCGUUCCAUUAGGCAGUUGGCGGGGUAACGGCCCACCAAACCGACGAUGGAUAGGGGUUCUGAGAGGAAGGUCCCCCACAUUGGUACUGAGACACGGACCAA